CCUACGGGAGGCAGCAGUGGGGAAUAUUGCACAAUGGGGGGACCCCUGAUGCAGCGACGCCGCGUGAGUGAAGAAGUAUUUCGGUAUGUAAAGCUCUAUCAGCAGGGAAGAAAAUGACGGUACCUGACUAAGAAGCCCCGGCUAACUACGUGCCAUCAGCCGCGGUAAUACGUAGGGGGCAAGCGUUAUCCGGAUUUACUGGGUGGAAAGGGAGCGCAGACGGCUGUGCAAGUCUGGAUUGAAAGGCGGGGGACCAACCCCCGGACUGCUUUGGAAACUGUAAAGCUGGAGUGCAGGAGAGGUAAGCGGAAUUCCUAGUGUAGCGGUGAAAUGCGUAGAUAUUAGGAGGAACACCAGUGGCGAAGGCGGCUUACUGGACUGCAACUGACGUUGAGGCUCGAAAGCGUGGGGAGCAAACAGGAUUAGAUACCCCUGUAGUC
rnacentral:rRNA from 1 species